rnacentral:rRNA from 1 species
UACGUAGGGGGCAAGCGUUGGUCCGGAUUUAUUGGGCGUAAAGAGCGUGUAGGCGGCCAUGUAGGUCCGUUGUGAAAACUCGAGGCUCAACCUCGAGACGCCGAUGGAAACCAUGUGGCUAGAGUCCGGAAGAGGAGAGUGGAAUUCCCGGUGUAGCGGUGAAAUGCGCAGAUAUCGGGAAGAACACCCGUGGCGAAGGCGGCUCUCUCGGAACGCAACUGACGCUGAGACGCGAAAGCGUGGGGAGCAAACAGG